CAGUCGCCGCGGGAAUACGUAGGUGGCAGGCGUUGUCCGGAAUUAUUGGGCGUAAAGGGCCCGCAGGCGGUUUCUUAAGUCUGAUGUGAAAGCCCCCGGCUCAACCGGGGAGGGUCAUUGGAAACUGGGAAACUUGAGUGCAGAAGAGGAGAGUGGAAUUCCACGUGUAGCGGUGAAAUGCGUAGAGAUGUGGAGGAACACCAGUGGCGAAGGCGACUCUCUGGUCUGUAACUGACGCUGAGGAGCGAAAGCGUGGGGAGCGAACAGGAUUAGAUACCCCUGUAGUCCCUGUCUCUUAUAU
rnacentral:rRNA from 1 species